rnacentral:rRNA from 1 species
GAUGAACGCUGACAGAAUGCUUAACACAUGCAAGUCUACUUGAACUUCGGUUUGGGUGGCGGACGGGUGAGUAACGCGUAAAGAACUUGCCUCACAGAUAGGGACAACAUUUGGAAACGAAUGCUAAUACCUGAUAUUAUGAUUUUAGGGCAUCCUAGAAUUAUGAAAGCUAUAUGCACUGUGAGAGAGCUUUGCGUCCCAUUAGCUAGUUGGAGAGGUAACGGCUCUCCAAGGCGAUGAUGGGUAGCCGGCCUGAGAGGGUGAUCGGCCACAAGGGGACUGAGACACGGCCCUUACUCCUACGGGAGGCAGCAGUGGGGAAUAUUGGACAAUGGACCAAGAGUCUGAUCCAGCAAUUCUGUGUGCACGAUGAAGUUUUUCGGAAUGUAAAGUGCUUUCAGUUGGGAAGAAAAAAAUGACGGUACCAACAGAAGAAGUGACGGCUAAAUACGUG